rnacentral:rRNA from 1 species
UACGUAGGGUGCAAGCGUUUGUCCGGAAUUAUUGGGCGUAAAGAGCUCGUAGGCGGUCUGUCGCGUCUGCUGUGAAAAUCCAGGGCUCAACCCUGGACCUGCAGUGGGUACGGGCAGACUAGAGUGCGGUAGGGGAGAUUGGAAUUCCUGGUGUAGCGGUGGAAUGCGCAGAUAUCAGGAGGAACACCGAUGGCGAAGGCGGCAUCCUGGACCGACAUUGACGCUGAACGGCGAAAGCUAGGGGAGCAAACGGG